AUGGCCACAUCACAUUGAAAUACCAAUUCCCAUACAAUCACUGAAGUUAAGUAAAUAUUGUGCCUGGUUAGUACCAAGAUGGGUGACUAUUUGAGAAUACUAGGUGCUGUGUG